UACGUAGGGAGCAAGCGUUGUCCGGAAUCAUUGGGCGUAAAGCGCGCGUAGGUGGCUUCGUAAGUCCGUUGUGAAAGUCAAAGGCUCAACCUUUGAAAGCCGAUGGAUACUGCGGAGCUAGAGUACGGAAGAGGCGAGUGGAAUUCCUGGUGUAGCGGUGAAAUGCGCAGAUAUCAGGAAGAACACCUAUGGCGAAGGCAGCACUCUGGGACGGUACUGACGCUGAGACGCGAAAGCGUGGGGAGCGAACAGG
rnacentral:rRNA from 1 species